UACGUAGGGUGCAAGCGUUGUCCGGAAUUAUUGGGCGUAAAGAGCUCGUAGGCGGUCUGUCGCGUCUGCUGUGAAAACUCAGGGCUUAACCCUGAGCUUGCAGUGGGUACGGGCAGACUGGAGUGCGGUAGGGGAGACUGGAAUUCCUGGUGUAGCGGUGAAAUGCGCAGAUAUCAGGAGGAACACCGGUGGCGAAGGCGGGUCUCUGGGCAACAACUGACGCUGAGGAGCGAAAGCGUGGGGAGCGAACAGG
rnacentral:rRNA from 1 species